UUAAGAAAUCAGAGUUCUGUCUCCAUCUUUGGAUGACAGAGACACCAGGGAUGUGGGUCCACACAGAAAAAAGGACAUAUGAGAACACUGAAAGAAGACAGCCAUCUGUAAGCUAAGGAGAGAGCCCUGAGGAGAAACCAAACCUGCUGGCACCUUGAUCUUGGACUUCCAGCCUUCAAAACUGUCAGAAAAUAUAUUUCUGUUGUUUAAGCAACUUGGUUAUGGUACUUUGUUAUGGCAACCCGAGCAGACUAAUACACCUGAUUUUUCUGAUGAGUUCUGAUGAGUAGCUUUAAUCUGGGAGGGGAAAGGAAUGUUUU
rnacentral:lncRNA from 1 species